UCCAGGAGUAGUUUUUAUUACCCUGGUGGUAGUUUGACCCUUCUUCUGUACCGUGAACCUAAAGAAACACUCAUUAGACAAGGUUUUCGUAGGAGUUGUAUGCAUUUCCAGGAGUAGUUUUGUGACCCUGGUGGUAGUUUGACCCUUCUUCUGUACCGUGAACCUAAAGAAGCACUCAUUAGACAAGGUUUUCGUAGGAGUGGUAGGCAUUUCCAGGAGUAGUUUUGUGACCCUGGUGGUAGUUUGACCCUUCUAUUGUACCGUGAACCUAAAGAAGCGCUCAUUAGACAAGGUUUUCGUAGGAGUGGUAGGCAUUUCCAGGAGUAGUUUUGUGACCCUGGUGGUAGUUUGACCCUUCUUCUGUACCGUGAACCUAAAGAAACACUCAUUAGACAAGGUUUUCGUAGGAGUUGUAUGCAUUUCCAGGAGUAGUUUUGUGACCCUGGUGGUAGUUUGACCCUUCUUCUGUACCGUGAACCUAAAGAAACACUCAUUAGACAAGGUUUUCGUAGGAGUGGUAUGCAUUUCCAGGAGUAUUUUUGUGACCCUGGUGGUAGUUUGACCCUUCUUCUGUACCGUGAACCUAAAGAAGCGCUCAUUAGACAAGGUUUUCGUAGGAGUGGUAGGCAUUUCCAGGAGUAGUUUUGUGACCCUGGUGGUAGUUUGACCCUUCUUCUGUACCGUGAACCUAAAGGAACACUCAUUUGACAAGGCUUUCGUAGGAGUUGUAUGCAUUUCCAGGAGUAGUUUUAUGACCCUUGUGGUAGUUUGACCCUUCUACUGUACCGUGAACCUAAAGGAACACUCAUUAGACAAGGUUUUCGUAGGAGUUGUAUGCAUUUCCAGGAGUAGUUUUGUGACCCUGGUGGUAGUUUGACCCUUCUACUGUACCGUGAACCUAAAGGAACACUCAUUAGACAAGGUUUUCGUAGGAGUUGUAUGCAUUUCCAGGAGUAGUUUUUAUUACCCUGGUGGUAGUUUGACCCUUCUUCUGUACCGUGAACCUAAAGAAACACUCAUUAGAACCCGACUGACCCCCUCUUUGACCUUUAGAAAUAGUUGAUGUGAGAACCGAAAGUGUCAUGUUAUACCAACCUAGGAAACUACAAAAGAAUGUUUCAGUCAGAACGGGAAUUUUAUUUGAUCAUUGUGCAUUUCGAUAUAACAUAUAUUGAUUAUUUAUUCCAUCGAUCCAUGACGCAUACGAAGCAAUAUCGAGUCAUCUUACUAUGGUGACUGAUGUGUUUCUAUCAGUCGCUUCUUUACACUAAAAAGCCACGUAGCCCACAGGCCCCAGAAAUACGUAAAUAUGAUGUAUUGAAACUUCCACUCAUAAGCUUCAUUGUUUCAAAAAUAGAUUGUAGGUUCGUAUAUAGCAAAGUCUACCAUAUAAAACAGUCCAUCAAUUAAGUGCAUUGUUGUCCUGACGAAGAUGAUCAGGGGAGAGAGAGAGAGAGAGAAAGUGUCCAAAGAAAGAAACGUUAUGAGUUAAGAAUGAGCUGAAUGAACAGAGUGCUUGUAACAGGGCCGUGAAGCGAUGAGGAGCGGCAGCCAGCGCAUAAAAGCGAUAGUACUGGUGUGGUUUACCUUACAUAAUUACAAGCCUUACACACCUUGCCUACCUGCCAGCUUGCACCGGUCUGUUAAUGGAUCAUCCAACAUAACAUUUUUAUUGACAAUUUCAAACAUACCCUGUAUUUUACCUUACUAUAUAUUUGAAGAUAUAAUUCAAUCAUAUCCACUUCCUGAUGGUAGGGAAACUCCAGUCUAGUAACACAACCUACUAAGAUAAUUAUCAGUGUCAUGCAUUACAAGCUGAACAUACACACUGCCUGUUGGAGUGGACCGACAGCCACGUGGGGGCCUGACUGGCACGAGUGGGGGGGGGGAGACAAUGGAGUUGAAUGGGUCGGGAAGUGGACGUAAAGGGGAACGGACUGUCUUGUGGGGGAAUGGAAUCACAUGGGCGGGGAAUGACCGGCACGGGGCGGACGUGGUCUGACACGGGGGAUGGAUUGGCUCUGGCUGCCUGUCCACAUUUCCCGCCUACCGGUUUUCUGUGCACGCAACUUAAGGCCGCUAGCGGUUGACUGAUCCUCAUCCAGCCAAAAAUUUGUUAGUGUUUGAGCUCAUGUGUAUUGUUUCUGGACAUUAAUUUUGUUUGCUUGUGAGCAAAUUUUCACCCGGGCUACAAUGUGAUGAUUCGUCGAAAA